rnacentral:rRNA from 1 species
UACGUAGGGUGCGAGCGUUAAUCGGAAUUACUGGGCGUAAAGCGUGCGCAGGCGGUUCGUUAAGUCAGAUGUGAAAGCCCCGGGCUCAACCUGGGAACUGCAUUUGAAACUGGCGGGCUUGAGUGUGGCAGAGGGGGGUGGAAUUCCGCGUGUAGCAGUGAAAUGCGUAAAGAUGCGGAGGAACACCGAUGGCGAGGGCAGCCCCCUGGGCCAACACUGACGCUCAGGCACGAAAGCGUGGGGAGCAAACAGG